CUACGGGUGGCUGCAGUGGGGAAUCUUGCACAAUGGGCGCAAGCCUGAUGCAGCCAUGCCGCGUGUGUGAAGAAGGCCUUCGGGUUGUAAAGCACUUUCAGCGGGGAGGAAGGCGGUGAGGUUAAUAACCUCAUCGAUUGACGUUACCCGCAGAAGAAGCACCGGCUAACUCCGUGCCAGCAGCCGCGGUAAUACGGAGGGUGCAAGCGUUAAUCGGAAUUACUGGGCGUAAAGCGCACGCAGGCGGUCUGUCAAGUCGGAUGUGAAAUCCCCGGGCUCAACCUGGGAACUGCAUUCGAAACUGGCAGGCUAGAGUCUUGUAGAGGGGGGUAGAAUUCCAGGUGUAGCGGUGAAAUGCGUAGAGAUCUGGAGGAAUACCGGUUGCGAAGGCGGCCCCCUGGACAAAGACUGACGCUCAGGUGCGAAAGCGUGGGGAGCAAGCAGGAUUAGAUACCCCAGUAGUC
rnacentral:rRNA from 1 species